UAUAUUACAAGAAGCAGUACACCAAUGGUAAAUUGAUACAUCGUUUUUUAACUUAAGAUAGUCAAAUGAAAGAAACACAAAGGAGGGUUAAUGUAACACUUUCAAGCAUUAGUGAUACAGUAAAGUGAAUGACCUCAGCAUGUAAACUUAACUUCAAAGCACGGAGCACACGUUUCACAGAAAAGUAGCUCUUAUUCCUGAUGCUGCAAACACACAGGAGUGACCUCAAUCUUCUUCAUAUUUAUUUUGAACAAUAAAUUUGUCAUCAAGUUUUAGCCUUCUUCUUCAACCAAUUACAGCACGAUCUUGAGCUCUGUGUUUCUUUUUUUAAAUCAUUCAAAAGAUCUCUGUCAUUAAUUUUUCAAUGAUAAAAAUUAUAUUUUUGUCUCACAAAAUAUAAAAUAUAAAAAAAUAAAACAUAUAUUAUAGGUCCGUUUGAGAUUAUUUUUAAAGGCCCAAAAGUCAUUUUGAAAAGUUAAAUGUUAAUUUUGGUAUAAGGUAAAAUUUUUAGAAAUCACCUUUGGUAAAAAUCACUUAUCCUACAAGAAAUUAUGGAAAGCAAAAAAAGAAUAGUUUGUCAAAAUCUAAUUUUGAUAACUAGUUUUAUACUUAAUACAAUUCUAUCUACAACCUUAUAUAUAUUAUAAAAAUAUAAAAUUAUCCUUAUUAUUUAGGAAAUAAAAUUAUUAAUUUUAAAGAUAUUUUAACAAUUACAUUGAGAUAACAAAAUAAAAAUAAAAUUAAUAAUAUAAAAUAUUUAUUUCUGUGAUCAAUUAUUAUAUGUACAAGAUUAAAAAAAAUUAUAUAUACAUGUUAAUAAAUGUAUAAAUAAAUUUUAUCUAACAUUAUGUUCAAUUCGGUCAUUUAUAUUAAUAGCACUUUAGAAGUAAAUUUUCCUAAAUAUUUAACUGAUUAUCUUCACAGUGAUUAUUUCCACAACAUAACAACCAAAAAUUAUUAUAAAAGAUACAACAUUACCAAAAAAUAUUGAGGUACAUUUUAAUUAGGUAAUUGACGUAAUUAUGAAUCAAUUUAUUAUUUCCAUAUGUGUUAUCUAAACCAGCUCAUUAAUGCGAUCACUCUUUUUCUUAAAUAAAAUAUUCUUACCAAACAAUUGUUGCAAAAUUUCAAAUAUAAAUUACAAACAACAAAAUUUUCUAAAGUCAUAACAAUUAUUUAUGUUCUGAAUACAUGUAACUAAACCACAUUGAAAGUUGUCAAAACAGGAGGACAUAUUGUUAGUAAAAUUAUUUCUCAAGCAAAUGCAGUGACGGAUUUGGUUUCAUGUUUCACCCUCAAUAACUUAAUUUUCAUAUCUAACAAAUCAUUCAUAUUAUUAACAAUAUCAUCACCAACCAUAAUCUACCUAAACAUACAUAUAACUAUAUACAUACCGAAUCAGGAAAACAAUGAAGGCUACACGUAUCCGGCUCUACAAUUCCUUGUUGGUACCCUUGUGCUUCUAAAAUAAUCGACCAAUUAUAAAAAUUAGCUUAGGUGCAACUUUACGCCUUUUUUUGGAAAACUUAACUAUAAAUAAAGUAUACAAAUCUCUAAAUUAACUUCUUUCCCAUGAAAUUCAGCAUAAAUAGAAAUAGAAUUAUAGAAACCUUACUACCUUUUAUGAGAAAUCCAACUUAUAUAUUUGAGACCUCUCUCUCUAAGCACGCGCUUCCUCUCUCUGCACACUUUCCACCUUUAAAUUCUCCUUCAUUAAGUUUACCUAAAAGAAUUUAGCGUUCUCCCAGUUUCUUUAGCAUUUUUCUCCGUGAAAAUUGGUGAAAAAGAGAAAGUGAUUUGAUUAUUUUAAUGUAUGACAGAUCUGGUUUCCAUCUCUGUAAUUUAAGUUUGUCAAAACGAGA
rnacentral:lncRNA from 1 species